rnacentral:rRNA from 1 species
AGAGUUUGAUCCUGGCUCAGGACGAACGCUGGCGGCGUGCCUAAUACAUGCAAGUCGAGCGGACAGAUGGGAGCUUGCUCCCUGAAGUCAGCGGCGGACGGGUGAGUAACACGUGGGCAACCUGCCUAUAAGACUGGGAUAACUUCGGGAAACCGGAGCUAAUACCGGAUAAUACCGAGGACCUCAUGGUCCUUGGUUGAAAGAUGGCUUCGGCUAUCACUUAUAGAUGGGCCCGCGGCGCAUUAGCUAGUUGGUGAGGUAACGGCUCACCAAGGCCACGAUGCGUAGCCGACCUGAGAGGGUGAUCGGCCACACUGGGACUGAGACACGGCCCAGACUCCUACGGGAGGCAGCAGUAGGGAAUCUUCCGCAAUGGACGAAAGUCUGACGGGGCAACGCCGCGUGAACGAUGAAGGCCUUCGGGUCGUAAAGUUCUGUUGUUAGGGAAGAACAAGUACCGUUCGAAUAGGGCGGUACCUUGACGGUACCUAACCAGAAAGCCACGGCUAACUACGUGCCAGCAGCCGCGGUAAUACGUAGGUGGCAAGCGUUGUCCGGAAUUAUUGGGCGUAAAGCGCGCGCAGGCGGUUCCUUAAGUCUGAUGUGAAAUCCCACGGCUCAACCGUGGAGGUGCAUUGGAUACUGGUGAACUUGAGUGCGGUCGAGGAAAGCGGAAUUCCGCGUGGAACGGUGAAAUGGGUAAAGAUGUGGAGGAACACCCGAGGCGAAGGCGGCUUUCUGGUCUGUAACUGACGCUGAAGCGCGAAAGCGUGGGGAGCAAAAAGGAUUAAAUACCCUGGUAGUCCACGCCGUAAACGAUGAAUGCUAAGUGUUAGGGAGUUUCCUCCCCUUAGUGCUGGACUAACGCAUUAAGCACUCUGCCUGAGGAGUACGGCCGGGUGCUGACACUCAAAUUAAUUGACGGCCGCCCGCACAAUGGAGGAGCAUGUGGUUUAAUUCAAACCAACGGAAACAUACUUACCAGGUCUUGACAUCCUCUGACCCUCUAUAGAUCCUCCCUUCCCUUCGGGGGACAGAGUGACAGGGGGUGCAUGGUUGUCGUCCCCUCAGGUGUUGAGAUGUUGCCCUAAGUCCCGCAACCACCUCCCUCCUUGUUUUUACUUGCCAUGAUUCAGACUCUCACUCUACUGUGACUGCCGGAGACAAACCGGACGAAGGCGACGAUGACUCCUCAUGGUCCUGACGCUUAUGACUUGAGCUACGCUAGUGCUACAAUGACCGAUACUCAGAGUCUGGAGACCGCGCGGUGGAGCUAAUCUCAUAAACUCGUUCUCAAUUCGGAUUGUAACUGCCCCCGCCUACAUGAAGCUGGUAUCGCUAGUAAUC